ACAUUGCCUGGCCACAGGGCUGCUGGUAUCAUCUGGAGCUCUCCCUUCCCCAUUCUCUUGGCUGUUCAGGUGACCAGCAUCAAAAGGCAUGCUGGAGACUGAGAGUGACCUGUGCUGUGAAGAUUAGAGCACAGUGUGGCAGAUAACAAGAAUCUAUGCAACCAGGCACCUAUGAAAUACAGAAAGACAACUGCCAAAAAAUGAAAUGUCAACACCAUAGCUACUACCCUGAAGUUCUUUCUUCACAGUUCUGUCUUCUACAACUUUUGACUCACAGACC